CACUUUGAAGGCUGGAGAGGAGAUUGCAAGAUGAAAGCUUUGCUAUUUGUGUUGUUGGUGGUGGCACUCAUGUGCAAGGACCCAGUCGCGAGUCUGAAAUGUUACUACUGGCACGAUUUUCCAGUGACGUGCUUCGCGGGAAGCAAGUAUUGUUACAAUUUGAAUCACAGCUACGGGGGAUUGAAGCUGGAAAACGGAUGUGCCCCAAAAUGCCCUAGAUCACAGCAUGGAAAUAAAGUUAAAUGUUGCUCAGCUGAUCUUUGCAACAUGAUUCCUUAAAAUAUCCUUUUGAGUUUUGCUCUCAUCCAUCGUGGACCUUCCAUGGAGAUUUUUGCUUCUGGCCUUUCCCACAAGCUGGCCCUUCCUUAAUUCCCCUUCUGCUUUCUUUGACACCCCCCCCCCAACACCUUCUCUCCCCUUUCUCCUGUUCUACAAGUUUCGUUCUGCUGUUUCUGUACUUUGGUGACUGAAUAAACUUCUGCAUUUAAAUUC